rnacentral:rRNA from 1 species
CAACGUAGGUAAUCUACCUUCGGAUGGGGAAUAACAAUCGGAAACGGUUGCUAAUACCGCAUAAUGCAGCGGCACCUAAUGGUGACAGUUGUUAAAGCGGGGGAUCGAAAGACCUCGCGUCUGAAGAGGAGCCUGCGGCGGAUUAGCUAGUUGGUAAGGUAACGGCUUACCAAGGCGACGAUCCGUAGCCGGCCUGAGAGGGCGGUCGGCCACACUGGCACUGAAACACGGGCCAG